UAUCUCAGUAGGUUAGAGCAUGGUGCUGAUAACACCAAUGUCGUGGGUUCGAUCCCCGU
rnacentral:tRNA from 1 species